GAUGAACGCUGGCGGCGUGCCUAAUACAUGCAAGUCGAGCGAACAGAUGAGGAGCUUGCUCCUCUGACGUUAGCGGCGGACGGGUGAGUAACACGUGGAUAACCUACCUAUAAGACUGGGAUAACUUCGGGAAACCGGAGCUAAUACAGGAUAAUAUAUUGAACCGCAUGGUUCAAUAGUGAAAGACGGUUUUGCUGUCACUUAUAGAUGUAUCCGCGCCGCAUUAGCUAGUUGGUAAGGUAACGGCUUACCAAGGCAACGAUGCGUAGCCGACCUGAGAGGGUGAUCGGCCACACUGGAACUGAGACACGGUCCAGACUCCUACGGGAGGCAGCAGUAGGGAAUCUUCCGCAAUGGGCGAAAGCCUGACGGAGCAACGCCGCGUGAGUGAUGAAGGUCUUCGGAUCGUAAAACUCUGUUAUUAGGGAAGAACAAAUGUGUAAGUAACUAUGCACGUCUUGACGGUACCUAAUCAGAAAGCCACGGCUAACUACGUG
rnacentral:rRNA from 1 species